AUUGAACGCUGGCGGCAGGCCUAACACAUGCAAGUCGAACGAGUGGCGGACGGGUGAGUAAUGUCUGGGAAACUGCCUGAUGGAGGGGGAUAACUACUGGAAACGGUAGCUAAUACCGCAUACCAUCGGAUGUGCCCAGAUGGGAUUAGCUAGUAGGUGGGGUAACGGAGCACCUAGGCGACGAUCCCUAGCUGGUCUGAGAGGGUGACCAGCUACACUGGAAUUGAGACACGGUCCAGACUCCUACGGGAGGCAGCAGUGGGGAAUAUUGCACAAUGGGCGCAAGCCUGAUGCAGACAUGCCGCGUAUAUGAAGAAGGCCUUCGGGUUGGAAAGUACUUUCAGCGGGGAGGCGUUACCCGAAGAAGAAGCACCGGCUAACUCCGUGCCAGCCGCCGCGGUAAUUC
rnacentral:rRNA from 1 species